AAAGCUCAUUGAGCGCUCAGUGAGCAUUCGUGGUUCUGGAUGCAUCCAAUGUAUAAGCAUUUGGCCCACAAAUGGCGUGGAAUAGUGUAGAUAGUGCAAAGUUAGUGUAAUAUAUUUACACAGAGUGCAGUGUUCCUAACCUAUUGUUGUCAUCGCUGCGCUUAUCUCAGAUUUAACUUCUUGCUGUAAGUACUAAAAAGAAUGCCAGCUUGUUACAUCGAGGGAUGCAAAAGCCGAAAUGAGGAAGGUAUCCGCUUAUUUCGCAUACCAACAAGUGAAAAAAAUAAAGUACGACGCGAAGAAUGGAUCAGAUUGAUUGGAAGAAACAUCUCUGCCAGAAAAUGUCAAAAUUUGCGAGCUACAUUUUGGUGCGGGUCAAUUCGAAAGAAAACGAGAAGAUGGAAAACGACUGCUUUGUCCAUGUGCGAAGCCAAACUUAUUAGAGAAACAUUUUGAGGACAUGAUAUCUAAUCAGGAAGGUACCAGUAAUAAUACAAAUAAAGCAAGAUACACCGAUGUAACAACUGCAACACUGAUAUUAAACAGUUUUCAUGACAAAAAGUUUGAAGUAUUGAGAAAUACUACAUGUAAUAGUAAAGAUUAUGAAAACAAUAUUCAAUUUUUACAAAAGGCAUUAAAAAGUCCGAGGCAGGAAUGUAGACGUUUAAAACAGAACUUGCAGACACGAAAUAAUAAGUAUAUA